rnacentral:lncRNA from 1 species
CCUUGGGCCAGCGGGUGGUGGAGAGCAGCCCGGCCUUGAGCUUAAGGGUUUUAUUCUCUUGGGAAUCUGUUAUCUCUCGUCAGCCCGGGUUGGUCCACCUGUUCAAUGGCCCCAACAUCGGAACUCGUCGACAGGGGCAGAGAGGCACUUGGGCCCUUUGGACGCCGACACUGUUGGACAAGGUGGAGGCAAAGCCAGCCGGCGGCAGCUUUUAAAGGAAUUGAGAUGGAUUUCUGGACCGUCGGACACGCGUGGAACUCGGACGUUUGGUGCAGCUCCGGAUGGAGCUCUAGAAGUUAGUGCUGGGGGCGGUGGAGUUAGGACUUCAACGUGUGAAUUUUGUGGGACACAACGCAUCCCCUGGCAGCAAAGACCACAGCCAACGUCAUACCAUAGCGACUUAGCCGUCAGAGACAUCUUCCCGAAAUGUGAGUCGCUCCCCUGCUUGGAGCUUUCUGGUGGCCCUCGGCUGUGCUUUGGGUUAAGUCUCAUCCUGGGUAAGCCCCCAGCCCCUGUGUCCUCUACCCUAGCCCUCCAGCUGUUGGCCUCAUGGAACAUUGUGAGAGCUCCAUGCUCAGCUCAACCCCUCCCUGCUUCCUUUGACUGCUCGUCAUUCACAUCAGAUGCCACCUUUCGUGGAACCCGUCCUUGA